rnacentral:lncRNA from 10 species
GAAGAACUUCAGGUAGAUUAGCCCCUGCCUAUGAGACUGGAUACUAUGGAGCAAGCCAAAAGGCAGCGAUCCAUGGCCUGGGCAUGUUCUUUCUCAAAAGAAGCUGCUGUUUCCAUUGGUUGGCAUCAGACCAGCCUGAUGAUCCACAGCUUGUAUGCAUGAUCCUUCUCUCAGGGAGCAUCCCAGCAGAGCAAAGACAGGCACUUCUCUCCCACGUUCCUCCUAAGGAGGCUUAGCAACCCUCCUACUCCUUAGGAACCCUACCUCAGGGUUAGACAACCAGGCCUCAGAGGGACAACCCCCACCCAACGUGUUCCCAGGUUUGCUUACAAUUAAUUGCCUUCCUCCAUGGGAAUUUCUCUGGGCACAUCCCUUUUGCAUCAUGGCCUUGUGGAAUCAGUCCUGCUGUACCAGUGCAAGUAUCAUCACAUUGUAGAGAACUGCCCAAAGCUAUGCAGCUGGAAAGGUGACCACAGCAGGCGACUGUCCCCCGGUGGAACUCCAGCACUGACAAAGAUGGCAGCAGAGAGUCAGCUAAUGGGGAAAUGCUUCCAAAAUGAGCUACAAACACGAAUGCAUUUGCUUCAGCAAAAGAGACAUGUAUCUUAGAAACCUAUCAAAAAUAUUUGAAUACAGCUACCUCGGCAAUCUCUGCUCUACGGGCUCCUCCCCCCACCUUUCUUUUAACCUUUGCCUGAGAAGAAUUUAAAUGGCAUAUUUAGUGGCUGUAUAUUGUGCUUCCUGUACCCACUGCUGCAUAAAAGGGAUUGAUUUAAAUCGCUUACAGUAACCAUGUGGGGGAGGAGGGUCUAGUUUUCUGCACCAAAUGCUCCAGGAUGCAUAAUAAGCAACCACAAAUACAGACAACAAAUGAGUGUGCUUGCAUUUGUCUCUUCUCUGGUAAAGAAUUAUUCUUUAGUACGGAUGGACUGCACACUUUUAGCAUCAACAAGAGAGCAGCUCAGAUGUGCGAGCACCAAUAAAGGAUACUUAAGCCUCCGUCCCCCAGGUAAUGAGUCUCAGAAAUGUUGGCUAAAAAAGUCAGAGAAUGUUCCUAUUUAUAAUUUUUUUGAAUCAUGAAAUUUAUAACACCUCCCAAAGCAGGAACGGACCAAGUUUAAAGAUUACAGCUGAGUGCCAGUAAAGCGUUAAAGGCAACCAUUGUUAAUAACAAUCGGCUGAAAAGCAAGACACAGCUCAUGCUUUGGAGCCGUACUAAGAGAUUCGGCAUCUCUAAAAUCGCUAGAGCCUUUGACAAGCCAGGCAUAAAUCAGGAGGGAUUUAAAUUCCUGAUUUUCUGGCAUUUUUUAAGCUAUAAAUCCUACACAUUCCUAAAACCACAUGGUCCCAUAACUGGAGCUGAGGGCUAGAGUAGGUCCCUGGAACAGUUCAAAGGGUCAAACUGGAAUUAGGAGCUCCUGCUUCUCUCUAGGCCUUAAGGCAAUUUUUUCUGAAGGACAUUUAAAGAUUUUUUUUUUAAAGUCUUCUGAAAUGAGGCCAAGAGGGUGUUACAUUUAUCCCAACAAUCUACCAGGGCUUUCUCGUCUUUGGAUGUAACCAUGUUGGGAUUUUUCUAGAUCUUAUUAAUCCAUGUCUAUAUACUCAAGAUGGUUUGGAUAGUCAGAGGUCAGAAAACAAUUAAAGGAGGGAGACUAAAUGGUCUAUAAAUGAAUGUGAUCUAUUCAGGGUUUCUUAAAAUGAGCUUAAGGACCAUUUGCCUUCCUGGAGAGAGAUGUGGAUGGAAGAGGUGUCCUGCUCCAAUCCAUGACUUUAGCAUGAGGAAAGCAUUCAGGAUGAAUGAAAGAAAGAACAGAGCAGAAUCAGGAUGCCUGGGUAAGAGACAAUAAGUCAAAAUAAGAUGAAAUGAGAACCCAAACUACAGAGUGGCAGCGAAAAUGCAGAGUGAAUGUGGAAAACUUGAUGAAGGUAAAAUCUGAAGAUCUUGGCACCUAAUUGGAUUCGCAUGAGGAGAACCAGAGAAGGGAGAGUCACUCAUGUCCGGGAGGAAAGAGCACAGCAUUUGUAACCUAGAAACCUGGACUGAAGGUCUUUAUUCUGCCAUUUACUAGUUUUGUAAACUCUGGGAAGCCAUUCACCUCUGAGUCUCAUUUUUAUCGGUUGCAAAACAAGGCUGGAAAUACCUACAAAAUAAAUGAGAAAAUGUAUUAAAUGUCUGAAAGAUGAUGAAAUGGAUCAUUAUUUAAUAAUAGUCACAUUAAUACUUAUGACUUUGAAGUCAUUUCUCUUUCUUGUGCCUCAGUUUCUUCAUUUGUAAAAGGCAGACCAAAGUGAACCCUACAGGCCCUUCUGGCUCUAACAUGUUUUCUAUCUACCUGGAGGUGAUCAGUUUGGUUUGUACUUAGUGAGUGUGGGCCAGCAUUCAUGUGAAAAGUUUCCUGAUCAAGUUGGUAACACAGAUCAGGACUUCUAGAGAGAUAUUUUUCAAAUGGCCACACGGGCCCCAAGGCAGUAUUGGGGAAUUGCCUAGGGAGCAUUUUUGAUUGUCAAAAUGAUUUGGAGGGCACUCCUGAGGUUAGAGGAUGGGAACCAGAGAUAUUAAUUUGUUGCACUAGGUGCAGUAUGAACACAACAAUGAAUUGUACUGUGCAUGUCCCUCGAGAUACUCGAGUAGGACAUUGAUACUCAAAGUGGGGUCUAGGGAUCCCUGGAGGUCCCUGAGUCCUUUUCAAGGAUAAUUCAAGGUCAAAACCAUUUUCACAGGAAGACCAUCACAUUAUGUGCCUUUUUCAUUGAGUUGAUGUCUCCAAUGAUGACACAAAAAGAAAUGGUAAGUGAAAAUGUUGAUGCUUUAGCAUUAAUCAAGGCAGCAGCACUCAACUGAACUAUACUAGUGGUUACUGUAUCAUUCCCUACUAUGCACUGGGUGUUAAACAAAAUCACCAACAAAACCUUCUAGUUUCAUUUAAGAAUGUCCUUGAUGAAGCAAUAAAAUUAACUUCAUUGAAUCUCAGCCCUUGAGUACAUACCUUCUUAAUAUUGUGUCUGGCAAAAUGCUGCAUAUCAAAAUAUAAUUUUGUUUAAAUUGCAAACUGAACUAGCCUCUUUUGUCAUGCAACAUCAUUUUUUACUUGAAAAAAGAAGUGACAUAUGUACUAUGAUUAUUCAGAUGCAUAUCCAGCAGACUACUUUCUCAGAAACAACAAAUAAUUUUUUUCAUUUCCAAGAAAUUACUUCCAAGAAAACAACAAAAGUACUUGUUGCCAAUGAUAAAAUUCAAGCAUUAAAGAAAAAAUUAGAAUUAUGGAAAAUUUGUACCUACCACCAUGAGCUUGGCUGCUUCUCAACACUAAAAGACCUUUCUGAUGAG